rfam:Nicotiana attenuata strain TT chromosome 12, whole genome shotgun sequence.
UGGACAGAUUAUUGUAUUCGACUGUAUUCACGGCGUGAAAUAGGGGAUUACACUAUUUUUAAAACGGAAAGUGAAUCAAUUAACAUAAUAGACUCCG